rnacentral:rRNA from 1 species
UAGGGAAUCUUCCACAAUGGACGCAAGUCUGAUGGAGCAACGCCGCGUGAGUGAAGAAGGUUUUCGGAUCGUAAAGCUCUGUUGUUGGUGAAGAAGGAUAGAGGCAGUAACUGGUCUUUAUUUGACGGUAAUCAACCAGAAAGUCACGGCUAACUACGUGCCAGCAGCCGCGGUAAUACGUAGGUGGCAAGCGUUGUCCGGAUUUAUUGGGCGUAAAGCGAGCGCAGGCGGAAUGAUAAGUCUGAUGUGAAAGCCCACGGCUCAACCGUGGAACUGCAUCGGAAACUGUCAUUCUUGAGUGCAGAAGAGGAGAGUGGAAUUCCAUGUGUAGCGGUGGAAUGCGUAGAUAUAUGGAAGAACACCAGUGGCGAAGGCGGCUCUCUGGUCUGCAACUGACGCUGAGGCUCGAAAGCAUGAGUAGCGAACAGG